GAGGUGUUGGGUUAAGUCCCGCAACGAGCGCAACCCUCGCCUUCAGUUGCCAGCAUUUAGUUGGGCACUCUGGAGGGACUGCCGGUGACAAGCCGGAGGAAGGUGGGGAUGACGUCAAGUCCUCAUGGCCUUUAUGCCCUGGGCUGCACACGUGCUACAAUGCAUUGGACAGAGCGAAGCGAUACGGCAACGUGGAGCAAAUCGCAGAAACCAAUGCUCAGUUCGGAUUGUGGUCUGCAACUCGACCACAUGAAGUUGGAAUCGCUAGUAAUCGCGUAUCAUCAACGACGCGGUGAAUAAGUUCCUGAGUCUUGUACACACCGCCCGUCACGUCAUGGGAGCUGGUAGUGCCCGAAGUCGCAUCAAUUCAGAUGUGCCUACGGCAAGAUCGGUGACUGGGACGAAGUCGUAACAAGGUAGCCGUAGGGGAACCUGCGGCUGGAUCACCUCCUU
rnacentral:rRNA from 14 species